rnacentral:rRNA from 1 species
UACGUAGGGUGCGAGCGUUAAUCGGAAUUACUGGGCGUAAAGCGUGCGCAGGCGGUUUUGUAAGUCAGAUGUGAGAUCCCCGGGCUUAACCUGGGGAACUGCGUUUGAAACUACAAGGCUAGAGUGUGGCAGAGGGGGGUGGAAUUCCGACGUGUAGCAGUGAAAUGCGUAGAGAUGUGGAGGAACACCGAUGGCGAAGGCAGCCCCCUGGGUUAACACUGACGCUCAUGCACGAAAGCGUGGGGAGCAAACAGG